CCCUCCUCCUCCUUCGUACUGCUCCCACCCUCGAUGCCUUCGCUUUCGGGACCUCCGCCUCCCGCCUCUUCCUUUUGAUGUUCUCGGCCAUGGCGGUGAAAAAAGCGGCGGAGUCCUUCUCCAAGGCGCUGGCCGACGAGGUGCAGCGCUGGGGAGGCAUGAAGCAGACCGGGGUGAGCCUCCGCUACAUGAUGGAGUUCGGCGCCCGCCCCACCCAGAAGAACCUCCUCCUCUCCGCGCAGUUCCUCCACAAGGAGCUCCCCACGCGGAUCGCCCGCCGGGCCAUUGAGUUGGAGGCCCUGCCCUUCGGCUUGUCCGACGAACCCGCCGUCUUGAAGGUCAGAGACUGGUAUCUGGAUUCUUUUCGCGAUCUUCGAUCGUUUCCAGAAAUCAAAGAUACAAGUGAUGAAUUAGCUUUCACUCAAAUGAUUAAGAUGAUCAAGGUGAGGCAUAACAACGUCGUACCAGCUAUGGCUUUAGGUGUACAGCAGCUGAAGAAAGACAUGAACCGCAAGGUCGUGCCGGAAGAACUCGAAGAGAUUCAUCAAUUUCUUGACCGUUUUUACUUGUCAAGAAUUGGGAUCCGUAUGCUUAUAGGGCAGCAUGUGGCUUUGCAUGAUCCUGAUCCAGAACCAGGAUGUAUUGGUCAAAUAAACACUGGACUUUCUCCAAUGCUAGUGGCCCAAAUUGCUAGUGAGGAUGCCCGCAGUAUUUGUUAUCGGGAAUAUGGGAGCGCUCCUGAGGUUAACAUAUAUGGAGAUCCAAAUUUCACCUUCCCGUAUGUGCCAUCACAUUUGCAUCUCAUGGUCUUUGAGUUGGUAAAGAACUCUCUGCGUGCAGUUCAAGAACGUCACAUGAAUUCUGACAAGGAAGUCCCCCCUGUUAGAAUUAUUGUUGCUGAUGGGAUAGAGGAUGUCACAAUAAAGAUUUCAGACGAAGGGGGAGGAAUACCGAGAAGUGGCCUUCCAAAGAUUUUCACGUAUCUCUAUAGCACUGCAAAAGAUCCACCAGAUGAAAACUACAAAGGAGUCUCAAACGGUGUAACUAUGGCUGGUUAUGGUUUUGGGCUCCCAAUUAGUCGUCUAUAUGCUCGUUAUUUUGGUGGUGAUUUGCAAAUCAUCUCUAUGGAAGGAUAUGGCACCGAUGCAUACCUACAUUUGUCUCGACUGGGAGACUCACAAGAACCACUGCCAUAAGGUGAACAGCCUCUCCUCUUCUCUUCUGUUCAUGCUUAUUAAGAAGCUGCAUGCAGUUCUUGAAUGGUGUAGCAUGAAUAAGAUUAUAUCAGCUUUUUCCCAUCGAACAAAUCAGCAUCAUCCUCUUGAUGAUUGCCCACACGUAGAAGAGCUCUGGACAUACAUUUCAUGAUUGAUUCAGCACGGGGAAUCAGAAAAUUGUGGCUGGGUUCAUCUUUCAGGUUGUGCCUUUUGUGCCUGUUUGCAAAAUGACCCAUCACCGGAGAUGUUUUCCAGGUUUGCUACUUCCGAUCUCAUAGCACCCACCAUAAGAGAGGAUGCUGGAAGAAUUCAUCUUGAUGAGCGGCUUUGUCAGCUGCGCUUCCUAACGGCUGUGUUACGAUAACAUUGAUUUGAAUUUGAAUCACAAAAAAUACUCUCUCUAUUUUUA